rnacentral:rRNA from 1 species
AGCAGCCGCGGUAAUUCCAGCUCCAAUAGCGUAUAUUAAAGUUGUUGCAGUUAAAAAGCUCGUAGUUGAAUUUCGGGGUCAGCAAGUUGGUCGUGCCACUGGUAUGUACUGGCUUCGCUGAUUCCUCCUUCUUGUAGAACCGUAAUGCCAUUAAUUUGGUGUUGCGGGAAAACAGGACUGUUACUUUGAAAAAAUUAGAGUGUUUAAAGCAGGCUAACGCUUGAAUACAUUAGCAUGGAAUAAUGAAAUAGGACGACGAUCCUAUUUUGUUGGUUUCUAGGAUUGACGUAAUGAUUAAUAGGGAUAGUUGGGGGCAUUAGUAUUCAAUUGUCAGAGGUGAAAUUCUUGGAUUUAUUGAAGACUGACUACUGCGAAAGCAUUUGCCAAGGAUGUUUUCAUUAAUCAAGAACGAAAGUUAGGGGAUCGAAGACGAUCAGAUACCGUCAUAGUCUUAACCAUAAACUAUGCCGACUAGGGAUCGGAUGAUGUUAAUUUUAUAAUGA